UUCCAGUGAACUAACUUUGUUACGACUUACCUCUUCUUUGGAAGAGGGUGACGGGCGAUAUGUACACCUAAAUUCAAAUUCGUUCUUAAUUUUUAUUAAAGAACUACUUCCAAAUCCUCUUUUAUUUUCUCUUUAGAUAAAAUUCCUUUAAUAAGUUUAAUGGGUAAUUAGCUCCUUCUUCGUUUACGAUCUUCACCUUGACCUGACUUGUUAAAGAUGUUGGGGUAGAAGGUUUAAAUUCUACCUUUAGACGGCGGUAUAAAAGAGAGAAACGGAGAAAAAAUAAACGGGAAAAAUCGAUAAGAACAAAUUCCUCUGGGAAG
rnacentral:rRNA from 1 species